AUAAUGAUGAUGGAAAAGGGGGACUGCUAAAUCUUAAAGAUCUGAUUGACAUUUGGAUAAAUAUCUUGACGAAGGGGAAUAAUUCGGGCGCAGGUGGUGAUGAUGGUGGAAAAGGGGGCCUGCUAAAUCUUAAAGAUCUGAUUGACAUUUGUAUAAAUAUCUUGACGAAGGGGAAUAAUUCGGGCGCAGGUGGUGAUAAUGAUGAUGGAAAAGGGGGACUGCUAAAUCUUAAAGAUCUGAUUGACAUUUGGAUAAAUAUCUUGACGAAGGGGA